rnacentral:rRNA from 1 species
AGAGUUUGAUCCUGGCUCAGAUUGAACGCUGGCGGCAGGCCUAACACAUGCAAGUCGAGCGGUAACAGGAAGUAGCUUGCUACUUCGCUGACGAGCGGCGGACGGGUGAGUAAUGCCUGGGAAUAUGCCUUGAUGUGGGGGAUAACUAUUGGAAACGAUAGCUAAUACCGCAUAAUGCCUACGGGCCAAAGAGGGGGAUCUUCGGACCUCUCGCGUCAAGAUUAGCCCAGGUGGGAUUAGCUAGUUGGUGGGGUAAAGGCUCACCAAGGCGACGAUCCCUAGCUGGUCUGAGAGGAUGAUCAGCCACACUGGAACUGAGACACGGUCCAGACUCCUACGGGAGGCAGCAGUGGGGAACAUUGCACAAUGGGGGAAACCCUGAUGCAGCCAUGCCGCGUGUAUGAAGAAGGCCUUCGGGUUGUAAAGUACUUUCAGCAGUGAGGAAGGUGGUAGUGUUAAUAGCACUAUCAUUUGACGUUAGCUGCAGAAGAAGCACCGGCUAACUCCGUGCCAGCAGCCGCGGUAAU